AAUCUGAAGAUCUCUUUAGUCAAUAUGCAUUGCACAGGAAAUUAGGAAAAUUGUAAGCUACCUGAUCUCUCUUUGGUUUGUGUCAGAGCAUGCAUCUGUAAAUUUUCCUAAUCUGAAAACUAUGCCUCUGCUUUCUCCCACUAUAAAGCUAGAGUAUGAGGCCAGCAUCUUGAAGGGCUUUAACAGAGAGAUGGUGCAGGGAUGAAUGAGAAUAGAGUGGAAACGUGCUCAGGUGUUUCUCCUUUGAUAUAAACUCUUACUGGCACCAGGAAAAAUACUUAGGUUGAAAUGCUUGUGGUGGAUGAGAUCCUAGGAAAAUGCUGCCACCUAAUGAGGUCC